rnacentral:rRNA from 1 species
AGGACGAACGCUGGCGGCGUGCUUAACACAUGCAAGUCGAGCGGAAAGGCCCUUCGGGGUACUCGAGCGGCGAACGGGUGAGUAACACGUGAGUAAUCUGCCCCUAGCUCUGGGAUAGCUCCGGGAAACCGGGAUUAAUACCAGAUACGACCACUUUAGACAUCUGUUGUGGUGGAAAGAAUUUUGGCUAGGGAUGAGCUCGCGGCCUAUCAGCUUGUUGGUGAGGUAACGGCUCACCAAGGCGACGACGGGUAGCCGGCCUGAGAGGGCGACCGGCCACACUGGGACUGAGACACGGCCCAGACUCCUACGGGAGGCAGCAGUGGGGAAUAUUGCGCAAUGGGCGAAAGCCUGACGCAGCGACGCCGCGUGGGGGAUGAAGGCCUUCGGGUUGUAAACCCCUUUCAGCAGGGACGAAGCGAAAGUGACGGUACCUGCAGAGAAGCGCCGGCUAACGUACGUGCCAGCAGCCGC